rnacentral:tRNA from 1 species
GGGUAGGGGGUCGAUCUGCGCCCGAGCGCCCGAUCGUCCGCCUGAAAAGCGGAAGGUCGGCGGUUCGACCCCGCCCCUGCCCACCA